GAGUCAGUAGGUUGGUCGUGCCACCGGUACGUACUGGUCUCACUGAUUCCUCCUUCCUGAAGAACCGUAAUGCCAUUAAUUUGGUGUUGCGGGGAAACAGGACUGUUACUUUGAAAAAAUUAGAGUGUUUAAAGCAAGCUAACGCUUGAAUACAUUAGCAUGGGAUAAUGAAAUAGGACGAUCGAUCCUAUUUUGUUGGUUUCUAGGAUUGACGUA
rnacentral:rRNA from 1 species